GACGAACGCUGGCGGCGUGCCUAACACAUGCAAGUCGAACGGGGUAAAGACUUCGGUUUUUACUUAGUGGCGAACGGGUGAGUAACGCGUGAGAAACCUGCCUUUCAGUGGGGGACAACAGUUGGAAACGACUGCUAAUACCGCAUAAUGUUAUUUGGGGGCAUCCUUGAAUAACCAAAGAUUUAUUGCUGAAAGAUGGUCUCGCGUCUGAUUAGCUAGUUGGUAAGGUAACGGCUUACCAAGGCAACGAUCAGUAGCCGACCUGAGAGGGUGACCGGCCACAUUGGGACUGAGACACGGCCCAAACUCCUACGGGAGGCAGCAGUGGGGAAUAUUGGGCAAUGGGGGGAAACCCUGACCCAGCAACGCCGCGUGAAGGAAGAAGGCCUCGGGUUGUAAACGUUACUUUUACCUAGGGACGAAGAACGUGACGGUACCGUGGAGAAAAGACAACGG
rnacentral:rRNA from 1 species